UCUGUUUUUCAAAAACAUGUCUUAAUGAUAAUUUUUAUUAAGUCUGGCCUGCUCAAUGAUUUUUUUAUAGAUUAAAUAGCCGCAGUAUUUUGACUGUGCGAAGGUAGCAUAAUCAUUUGUCUUUUAAUUGAAGGCUUGUAUGAAUGGUUUCAUGAGAAAAUAACUUUCUUUAUAUUAAUAAAUUGAAUUUAAUUUUUUAGUUAAAAAGCUAAAAUUUUUAAGUGGGACGAGAAGACCCUAUAGAAUUUUACUAUUAAUAAAAUAAAUUUUUCUUUAUUGUUAUUAAUGAAUAUUAAUUUAUUAAUAGUUUUGUUGGGGUGACAUUAGGAUUAUUUAAACUCCUAUAUAUUAUAUAUUUAAUAAUUUUUAUAUUUAUGAUCCUAUAUUAAGGAUUACUAGAUUAAAUUACCUUAGGGAUAACAGCGUAAUUUUUUUGGAGAGUUCUUAUCGAUAGAAAAGUUUGCGACCUCGAUGUUGGAUUAAAAUUAGAUUUAAGUGCAGUAGCUUAAUUUCUAGGUCUGUUCGACCUUUAAAAUUUUACAUGAUUAAUUUCCAACCCGG
rnacentral:rRNA from 1 species